AGACUAACCUGGAGACCAUGAUCGUGAAGUUGAUUUUCCCAGGAUGAGGCAAUCCCAUUGCACUUUGGUUGUGCUGAUGCCUCCAAUGUCUCCAAAUGCCAGAUACUUGACUGCAAAAUGUUUGGCUGCUAUAUUCUUCCUAUCAAAGAUAAUACCU